UUUGCUUCAACAUAAGUAGAAAGAUAGAGACAAGUAGCCGGAGUAAUUAAAGUCAAAGAUAUAGGUAACCCUCUGUAAUAAGCCUUUAAAGGCAUUGUCUUAAAAGAGAAUUUUCCAAUUGUUUGCUUAUGAACAGUGAUUGUAUCAAUUGGGUGACACAGAAGCCGACUUGCAACAGCACCUGCACUUUUUAUCAAUGUUAGUAUGUUUUGGCAGGAACUCUAAUUUAAAUGUACCUAGCAGCCAUGAGAGUUUGUACAUCCAUUUUCUUCCCUAUAUGGCAACAUUCAAAACUUGGACUUUCCUAGAAAACAAAAGAUGGGGAUAUCAGUGAAAUUAAGUGGUUGCGUUACUGCAAGUCAUGAAGCCUAUAAGCGAUCCAUCAAGUUUAGAGGUCGCAGUGCAGUUGGAUAAUACGUUUUAUAUCAAUAAAUGAGAUCAAUAUUUUUAAUUCUUUAAAAAUAAGUAAGUAAGCUUUUAUGGAUUGUGAUAUUUAUACUACUGAAUACCCAUCGACAUAUGCUAAACUGAAUAAAUCACGAUGAAACGCAAGGAAUAAACGUUGUAUAUAGCAAUAAAUUUAUUGGUGUGCUGUAGAAUUUCAAAUGCUUGUAUCAAUCAGUUUACAUUCAAAAGCUAGCACGCAUUCUGCGAAAUGUUGUCAUUUCUAUAGACGAAAGAAACCCGUUUCUCUCCUAAUCACCUCCAUUAACAUCAAUUAUUGAGUUAUGACUUAUUUUUUCGUUGUAACCUAACAUUGCUUACCUUCUAUAUUUCACACAAUUUCUGAUUGUAAUGUCUCGAGUUGAAAGUUGAAUAUUGUUAUUAGUACUUUGUACCGAUCAAUGAAAUUCAGCCUA